GACGAACGCUGGCGGCGUGCCUAAUACAUGCAAGUAGAACGCUGAAGGAGGAGCUUGCUUCUCUGGGUGAGUUGCGAACGGGUGAGUAACGCGUAGGUAACCUGCCUGGUAGCGGGGGAUAACUAUUGGAAACGAUAGCUAAUACCGCAUAAUAGUAGAUGUUGCAUGACAUUUGCUUAAAAGGUGCAAUUGCAUCACUACCAGAUGGACCUGCGUUGUAUUAGCUAGUUGGUGGGGUAACGGCUCACCAAGGCGACGAUACAUAGCCGACCUGAGAGGGUGAUCGGCCACACUGGGACUGAGACACGGCCCAGACUCCUACGGGAGGCAGCAGUAGGGAAUCUUCGGCAAUGGACGGAAGUCUGACCGAGCAACGCCGCGUGAGUGAAGAAGGUUUUCGGAUCGUAAAGCUCUGUUGUAAGAGAAGAACGAGUGUGAGAGUGGAAAGUUCACACUGUGACGGUAUCUUACCAGAAAGGGACGGCUAACUACGUG
rnacentral:rRNA from 1 species